GAUUAGAUUUUAUUUAUUAAUUUUAUUUAUUUUAUUUUAAUAUAUUAAAAAUAAUUAUAUAAGAAAAAGUUUUAGUAUUGUUUAAAGAAAAAAUAAAUUUAAUAAUAGUUUAAUAGUAUUGUAAAAGAAAAUUGAAAUAUUUUGAAAAAUUUUUAUUGUAAAAGAAAAUUUAAUUUAUUGUACCUUGUGUAUCAGCGUUUAUUAAAUAAAAAAUAUUUAAAUAUAUUUUUCUCGAUUUUAAAAGAGUUAAUAUAAUAAUAAAGUUAAUGUAAUAAAAUUAUUUUAAAUAUUAUAUUAGAAAUGAAAUGUUAUUCGUUUUUAAAGGUAUCUAGUUUUUCAAGAAAUAAAUUUAAUUUAGAAGUUAUAAAUUUAUUUAAAAAAUUUUUUAAUUAAAUAAUUUAUAAUUUUAAUAUUUUAUGGGAUAAGCUAUAAAAUAAAUUUUUAAAAAUGAUAAAUAAAUUUAAAAUAUAUAUGCUUAGAAUUAGCAAUUAUUAAAAAAUGUGUUAUAAUUUAUUUUAUAAAUUAAAUUAUUUAUUAUAUUUUAAAUUUUUAUUGAAAUAUUAAUUUUAAUUUUUAAAAUUAAGUAAUAAUGAUAGAAUUAGUAUAUUUUAUUGUAAAAUAAAUUUAAAUGAUAAGUUUAAGUAAAGAAUUCGGCAAAAAUAAUGUUCGCCUGUUUAACAAAAACAUGUCUUUUUGAAUUAAAUUUAAAGUCUAACCUGCCCACUGAAAAUUUUUAAAUGGCCGCAGUAUUCUAACUGUGCAAAGGUAGCAUAAUCAUUAGUCUUUUAAUUGAAGGCUGGAAUGAAUGGUUGGACGAGAUAUUAACUGUUUCAUUUAAAUUUUUUAUAGAAUUUUAUUUUUUAGUCAAAAAGCUAAAAUUUAUUUAAAAGACGAGAAGACCCUAUAAAUCUUUAUAUUUUAUUUAUUUUAAUUAUAAAGAUUAUUUUUAUUAUAAUAAAUUAAAAUAUUUUAUUGGGGUGAUAUUAAAAUUUAAAAAACUUUUAAUGAUUAAAAUCAUUAAUGUAUGAAUAUUUGAUCCAUUAAUAAUGAUUAAAAAUUUAAGUUACUUUAGGGAUAACAGCGUAAUUUUUUUGGAGAGUUCAUAUCGAUAAAAAAGAUUGCGACCUCGAUGUUGGAUUAAGAUAUAAUUUUGGGUGUAGCCGUUCAAAUUUUAAGUCUGUUCGACUUUUAAAUUCUUACAUGAUCUGAGUUCAAACCGGCGUAAGCCAGGUUGGUUUCUAUCUUUAAAAAUUUAUAAUAUUUUAGUACGAAAGGACCAAAUAUUAGAAUAAUUUUAUUUUUGUAUAGAAUAAUAUUAAUUAAUAUAACUAUUUUGGCAGAUUAGUGCAAUAAAUUUAGAAUUUAUU
rnacentral:rRNA from 1 species